rnacentral:misc_RNA from 1 species
AGUCGUAACAAGGUUUCCGUAGGUGAACCUGCGGAAGGAUCAUUGUCGAAACCUGCCCGGCAGAACGACCCGCGAACUCGUUAAAUUUUGCCCGAGGGGGUGCGUUCUCGGGGCGUCUGUUCUCCCCGCGUCGGCCCCCUCCCGCCGCGGGGGGCGAGCACCUGUGCCUCGUCCCCCGCGGCCUAACAACGAACCCCCGGCGCGAGCCGCGCCAAGGAAAAUCCAACGAGAGAGAGAGCGCUCCCGCAGCCCCGUACGCGGUCUGCUGGCGGGAUGCGUCCCCUCCUUUCAACGAAAAUCCAAAACGACUCUCGGCAACGGAUAUCUCGGCUCUCGCAUCGAUGAAAAAUGCGAUACUUGGUGUGAAUUGCAGAAUCCCGUGAACCAUCGAGUCUUUGAACGCAAGUUGCGCCCCAAGCCUUUAGGCCGAGGGCACGUCUGCCUGGGUGUCACGCAUCGUCGCCCCCUCCAGCCCCCCCUCCCGGGGGAGCRUCGGACGGGCGGAAAAUGGCCUCCCGUGCGCCCCCCGCUCGCGGUUGGCCGAAAUUAGAGUCCCCCGGCGACCUUGCCGCGACGAUCGGUGGUGAAACAAGCCUCUCGAGCUCCCGUCGCGCGCUCGCGUCUCCGUGUUACGGGCUCGCGGACCCUGCCGGGCAAGCGCCUCCCGUUCGAGGCGCUGCUCGCUGAGCGACCCCAGGUCAGGCGGGACUACCCGCUGAGUUUAAGCA